UGGAUCCAGACUUUGAUUAUGGCUCAGGAUGAACGCUAGCUACAGGCUUAACACAUGCAAGUCGAGGGGAAACGAUAUUGGAAGCUUGCUUCCGAUAGGCGUCGACCGGCGCACGGGUGAGUAACGCGUAUCCAACCUGCCCACCACUUGGGGAUAACCUUGCGAAAGUAAGACUAAUACCCAAUGAUAUCUCAAGAAGACAUCUGAAUGAGAUUAAAGAUUUAUCGGUGAUGGAUGGGGAUGCGUCUGAUUAGCUUGUUGGCGGGGUAACGGCCCACCAAGGCGACGAUCAGUAGGGGUUCUGAGAGGAAGGUCCCCCACAUUGGAACUGAGACACGGUCCAGACUCCUACGGGAGGCAGCAGUGAGGAAUAUUGGUCAAUGGGCGAGAGCCUGAACCAGCCAAGUAGCGUGCAGGAUGACGGCCCUAUGGGUUGUAAACUGCUUUUAUAAGGGAAUAAAGUGAGUCUCGUGAGGCUUUUUGCAUGUACCUUAUGAAUAAGGACCGGCUAAUUCCGUGCCAGCAGCCGCGGUAAUACGGAAGGUCCGGGCGUUAUCCGGAUUUAUUGGGUUUAAAGGGAGCGUAGGCUGGAGAUUAAGCGUGUUGUGAAAAUGUAGAUGCUCAACAUCUGCACUGCAGCGCGAACUGGUUUCCUUGAGUACGCACAAAGUGGGCGGAAUUCGUGGUGUAGCGGUGAAAAUGCUUAGAUAUCACGAAGAACUCCGAUUGCGAAGGCAGCUCACUGGAGCGCGACUGACGCUG
rnacentral:rRNA from 1 species